GCUGACACAAACAGCAGAAGUAUGUCUUGUGCAGGAUCAAGCAGUUCUAAAAAGAAACGUUGUUGCUAUUGGUGACAUUCUGCGAGUUAUACAGGAUUUCUCUACAAUAAUGUGUAUGAAGGAAUGCUUGACGUUUCCACUAUGUAGCGCGGUGAAUGUAUACCCCGACUUGCUACGAUGUGAGUUGAUGCUUCACUCGUCUACAGAUGUAUCUGGCGGUGUCAUAACGUCAUUAGAUGGAAAAACUAUUGAUGCUGUAGACAUUCCUGUGGAAUAUGCUGGAGUGUGUCAAGGAAACAAUUGCUCACUAAACGAGAGAUGCAUUGAGAUACAGUCCCGGGGGUACGUCUGUGUGCAGUAUGAUUUCUGCAACGGACUUCCGCCAUCAAUUGUGAAUACCAACUAUACAAUCAAUAGCUCCCAAGGAGUCCCGAUCGCUGUUUAUUCGUGUCUCCCCGGAGCUGGCUAUGUCGGUGGUGCACCGAGCUCUUUUUGUAAUCCACUCACAAGAGCAUGGAGUGAGGCAGAUAUUGUUUGUUCAACGAGUUUACCGGACGGUUGUGGGACUCCUCCUUCACUGUCUAUCCCGCACAAGAUCACGCGUCCGUAUGGAAACGACUCUUAUUUAGCCGCCUUUCACCUGUCUGAGUUUUGAUGGUCAAGUUACUCUUGACCACUGUCCAGUCACACGCUGCACUGGAAUUGAACAGUGGAAUUCCAUUCCUAGCAUGUCAUGUUCAGUGAAAGACUGUUAUGCGAGUAACGGCGAGUACGACGGUCACGUGACAUGCACGAACACCGGGAAAACAUGUCAGCGUUGGGACCAACAGGUUCCUCACGCGCACACUUACUUCUUCGGCAGAAGUGACUUGCACAAUUACUGCAGAAUAAACGAAACUGUGAUCCCUUGGUGCUACACUACGGAUCCAACGACGAGGUGGGAAUACUGUCCAGUCUCGCCAUGUUAAAACCAUACCCUACCAACCCGAAAAUAAGACGUAGCUUAUUUUCUUUAAUAGUAAUCCAGAUACUGGAUUACUUUUUUAGGAAAGGCUUAUUUUCGAAUGAGGCUAACGUUUGUGGUAGUUUAUAUGGUUAAAGCUUAUCUUGUGGAGUAUGAUGACACAUGACAAAGAAGCAAUUACCUUUAUACACAUCGAUGAUGAAGGUGUCAACAUAAGUUCGUUGCAAUAGAGCAGAAACAUAUGUUUAGGAAUUACAAUGCACAACGAUUAUCUUUUUCAAAUCAGACCUUCGCAAAAUUAUGUAUUUGUAUGUGUUUUACUCGUGAGAAACUACACGCUUAUUUUAAGGAUAGGUUCAUUUUUGAGUUGGGCUUUUUUUUCGUUAGUUUGGAGUCACGAUUUACAAGAAAUCACCUUUUAUCUAUUGUAACAAAUCACGCACCGGUUUUGUAAACACAAAUAUAACGUUUCAUGAUCAAUUACGUCAUUUGUAAUUUCUUUCUCUAUUCAAUAUCUUUUUAAUUUAAAACAAGUCUAGACCAAAUAAAGUAACUUAAAAAAUAUUAAUUGAACGUUUCAUCUCGUACUUUGAAAUAUUCUGCACAUUACUUCAGCAAGAAAAUAUCAAUCUUGAAUCGAAUCCAUCAUUCUAAAACACUAACAUCGGUGAUUGGUGUUCUUUAAAAGUUAUAUACUCUCCCAAAUUUACAAAAUUGGAAAAAAAAGUUUCAGAUUUUAUAAAUCAGUCCUUUAUUUCAACAAAUGCCUGUCUCCAAUCAAUAGUCUAAAUGUUAACAAGUUCAAAUACUUUACCUCAGCCCAGGCAGUUACAAUUAAUUAUUAUGUGGAUUUCAAUAUAUAGAAAUUGAAUCGAAAUUGAAAUGUUAAGCAGCAAUUUAUAUGCAUUACGAUUGUUUUAUUGUAUUUUAACACUAUUCAAACAUGUAUAUGAUACAGAUCAUAUUGGUGAAGCAUACAAUGGAAAAACGUGAUGAGACGAAAGAUUCUUUGUUUUCUUCAAAUCAUGGUAAUGAUUUUCAUCUGCUAUGAUUGUUAAUGUGUGGAUAGACAAUCAAAUUGAAGCAGCGUUGUUUGUCCAUUCAUAGACAUAUUGGCACUAUUCAAGGUCAAUAAGAGACAAAAUUUAAAAGAAGACACUGCACUGGCAUUAAAAACAAAAGACCAGAUAUGCAUAUAUUUUCAGAUUCAUUGAUCGCGUUAUGCUACGCGUGCCGCUACAGUGUUUAUAACUAAUGCAAAACAAUCCUUUUUAUUCCACCGAAACACAACACAGCUAUUUUGUCACUGACAAUCAAUUUUUAUGAUCUAAAUGAGGUAUCUGUAAAUAAUGAAAAAAACUUCUUUCGAAAUGUAUUAAUCUGGCUAAGGUUAACCGUUUUUCUUUAAUCAUACUAGAUAAAUAAAAGAUAUGAUGUCUUUGAUGUUUUUUUUUAUCUUGUCAUCAUUAGUAAUGAUAUAAGAACUGAUACAGGGUUGGAUGUUUAUCUCAC